GGCGGGAUAGCAAAGGGGUUAUGCAGCGGAUUGCAAAUCCGUCUACGCCGGUUCGAGUCCGACUCCCGCCUCCA
rnacentral:tRNA from 1 species